AGAGUUUGAUCAUGGCUCAGGAUGAACGCUAGCGGCAGGCCUAACACAUGCAAGUCGAGGGGUAACAUAGGAAAGCUUGCUUUUCUGAUGACGACCGGCGCACGGGUGCGUAACGCGUAUACAACCUACCUUUUAGCGGGGAAUAGCCCAGGGAAACUUGGAUUAAUGCCCCAUAGUAUGGAGAUCUCUCCUGAGAUUUUCAUUAAACAUUUAUGGCUAUUAGAUGGGUAUGCGUCCUAUUAGUUAGUUGGUAAGGUAACGGCUUACCAAGGCAGCGAUAGGUAGGGGUCCUGAGAGGGAGAUCCCCCACACUGGUACUGAGACACGGACCAGACUCCUACGGGAGGCAGCAGUGAGGAAUAUUGGACAAUGGGCGAGAGCCUGAUCCAGCCAUGCCGCGUGCAGGAAGACUGCCCUAUGGGUUGUAAACUGCUUUUACAGAGGAAGAACCACUCCCACGUGUGGGAGUUUGACGGUACUCUGCGAAUAAGGAUCGGCUAACUCCGUGCCAGCAGCCGCGGUAAUACGGAGGAUCCAAGCGUUAUCCGGAAUCAUUGGGUUUAAAGGGUCCGUAGGCGGGCAGUUAAGUCAGUGGUGAAAGUCUUCCGCUCAACGGGAGAACUGCCAUUGAUACUGAUUGUCUUGAGUUAUUAUGAAGUGGUUAGAAUGAGUAGUGUAGCGGUGAAAUGCAUAGAUAUUACUCAGAAUACCGAUUGCGAAGGCAGAUCACUAAUAAUAUACUGACGCUGAUGGACGAAAGCGUAGGUAGCGAACAGGAUUAGAUACCCUGGUAGUCUACGCCGUAAACGAUGGUUACUAGCUGUUCGGCCCGAUUAAAGGCUGAGUGGUUAAGCGAAAGUGAUAAGUAACCCACCUGGGGAGUACGUUCGCAAGAAUGAAACUCAAAGGAAUUGACGGGGGCCCGCACAAGCGGUGGAGCAUGUGGUUUAAUUCGAUGAUACGCGAGGAACCUUACCAGGGCUUAAUGUAGUCUGACAGGUCUGGAAACAGGACUUUUCUUCGGACAGAUUACAAGGUGCUGCAUG
rnacentral:rRNA from 1 species